ensembl:rRNA 5S_rRNA 5S ribosomal RNA
GUCUACAGCCAUGCUACCCUGAACAAGCCUGAUCCUGUCUGAUCUCUGAAGUUAAGCAGGCUUAGAUCUGGUUAGUACUUGGAUGGGAAACCACCUAGGAAGACCAGGUGAUGCAGGCA